rnacentral:lncRNA from 1 species
CUGUGCGCAGGCGCUGUGGCUCGGCCUCGGGAGACGAGCUGUGAGCAACGCGCUUGCGCGUCUCAGUUUGCUUAGUUUGGGCUUUUUUACAGCUCGGCUUUCUGAUGUCUUCCAUCAUUUUCAUCCCCUACACUUUAUAAUCUGUUGCGAUGCGGCCAGGGUGCUCUGCUUGAACCUCCGCUGCACCUUGUCACAUGUAGGUUCCCUUUAGUUACUUGCGCUUUGAGAUGACGUUACACUUCAGGGACCUCAAGCACACAAGCAUUCUAAGGCUCAAGGAGAGGUCUGGCUACCAAAUGCUAAUUUAAUUCUCAGGUCGACAAUGGUUUAUGCCUGCAGUACUACUGCUGGGCAAAGGACAUAGAAAAUGCGAAAAGGAGAGGGCCAAGAAAAGCAACAGGAGAUGCAGGAGGACAAUAAGGAACGAUGGAAAACUCACAGCAGAUGCCCUCAAGAACUUUUGUAGUGACCACGGUGUUAAUAAGCAGCCUUCCCUGAUCUUAUUCGCAUCAGCACUCUGAGCUUUUAUGGUCAGCUCAGGUGACCUCCUGUCCUUUAAUUUGGAGAGUUAGUCUAUGCGGAGUGUAUCUAAGUGGGUUUGGUAACCUGUUCACCCUCCUCCACUUCUUUUCCAUCUCUUGGGGAACGCGAUUGUUGACUUCUGUCCCAGAAAGGUGGAACACUGCUCUCUGGAGAGAGGUAGACUGCAUUGGCUCCUGAAGUGGUACUGAGGCUGCUGGAGUGUCAGAGAUUGAAUAGACUGAGAGCCCCUAAUGAGUUGUGUUGGAUUGUGUACCACUUCCCCAUUGCAGGUGUUGGUUACGUGACAGUCUAUGGAAAUGAUUGCAAUGGUAACAUUUUGAUAAUGAUUUUCUAACUACGAAUAAAGCUUGCAUUAUGUAACUGUUUUAUAUGCUACCUUCUUUAUUUUUCAAGCAGAAGACAUAAUCCUUCCCCUCAGCUAGAAAAGUGGCCCAGAACAUUCCAUAGCAAUUAGUGGCCCCUAUUGAUAGUUAGACU